rnacentral:rRNA from 1 species
UACGUAGGGUGCGAGCGUUAAUCGGAAUUACUGGGCGUAAAGGGUGCGCAGGCGGUUAUAUAAGACAGAUGUGAAAUCCCCCGGGCUCAACCUGGGAACUGCGUUUGUGACUGUAUGACUAGAGUACGGUAGAGAGGGGUGGAAUUCCUGGUGUAGCAGUGAAAUGCGUAGAUAUCAGGAGGAACAUCGAUGACGAAGGCAGCCCCUUGGACCUGUACUGACGCUCAUGCACGAAAGCGUGGGGAGCAAACAGG